GACGAACGCUGGCGGCGUGCUUAACACAUGCAAGUCGAGCGGAAAGGCCACUUCGGUGGUACUCGAGCGGCGAACGGGUGAGUAACACGUGAGUAAUCUGCCCCUGGCUUUGGGAUAGCCACCGGAAACGGUGAUUAAUACCGGAUACGACCACUUCUCGCAUGGGAUGGUGGUGGAAAGUUUUUCGGCCAGGGAUGUGCUCGCGGCCUAUCAGCUUGAUGGUGAGGUAAUGGCUCACCAUGGCUUCGACGGGUAGCCGGCCUGAGAGGGUGACCGGUCACACUGGGACUGAGACACGGCCCAGACUCCUACGGGAGGCAGCAGUGGGGAAUAUUGGACAAUGGGCGGAAGCCUGAUCCAGCAACGCCGCGUGAGGGAUGACGGCCUUCGGGUUGUAAACCUCUUUCAGUACCGACGAAGCGCAAGUGACGGUAGGUACAGAAGAAGCACCGGCCAACUACGUGCCAGCCGCCGCGGUAACAC
rnacentral:rRNA from 1 species